UGGACAGGCAACCCGGUGUCUCGAGUCGGU
rnacentral:piRNA from 1 species